UGCCGCGUGUGUGAAGAAGGCCUGCGGGUUGUAAAGCACUUUCAGUAGAGAAGAAAUGCCUGGAGCUAACAUCUCCGGGUCUUGACGUAACCUACAGAAGAAGCACCGGCUAACUCCGUGCCAGCAGCCGCGGUAAUACGGAGGGUGCGAGCGUUAAUCGGAAUUACUGGGCGUAAAGCGCGCGUAGGCGGUUUGGUCAGUCGAUUGUGAAAGCCCUGGGCUUAACCUGGGAAUUGCAGUCGAUACUGCCUGACCAGAAUGUGGAAGAGGGAAGUGGAAUUUCCGGUGUAGCGGUGAAAUGCGUAGAUAUCGGAAGGAACACCAGUGGCGAAGGCGGCUUCCUGGUCCAACAUUGACGCUGAGGUGCGAAAGCGUGGGGAGCGAACAGGAUUAGAUACCCUGGUAGUCCACGCCGUAAACGAUGAGAACUAGAUGUCGGGAGGGUUUAGCCUCUCGGUGUCGCAGCUAACGCGUUAAGUUCUCCGCCUGGGGAGUACGCCGGCAACGGUAAAACUCAAAGGAAUUGACGGGGACCCGCACAAGCGGUGGAGCAUGUGGUUUAAUUCGAUGCAACGCGAAGAACCUUACCUGCCCUUGACAUUGACAGAAUCCUGUAGA
rnacentral:rRNA from 1 species